rnacentral:rRNA from 1 species
AAGACUUUGAUUUUGGGUCAGAUAGAAGGCGAGCGGCACUUAUAAUACAUGCUAGUCGAGUGGGUAAGAACCACGGCGAACAGGUGAGUAAAGUUUGGGGGAAAUCUAUUGGGUCCGUAAAACGGGGAAAANUUUAUUGUCAAUUGAUGAGCCGGAAUUGUAUUAGGUAAAAGGUAGGGGUAUAGCUUGCCUUGCCGAGGAUGCAUAGCCGAAAGGCCACACUUCCAUUGAAACAAGGGGGAGACUUAAAAAAGGCAGCAGUAGAGAAUAUUGUGCUAUGAACGAAAGUUUGACACAGAGAUGUCGCUUAAACAGAGAUGUUGCAGACUGUCCAAUAUACGUGCCAGCAGACGCGGUUAUACGUAAGGUCUGAGUCUUUAUCAUAAACAGGCGUAAAGGGUGUGUAGGUACUAAAUUGAGUUUUGUCAGGUAAAUAGAACUUUUAUGUAGCGGUAAAAUGCUUUUAGAUAAAAUGGAAUACCAGAGGCGAAGGCGAUUUACUGAAAAAAUUGUCGCUGAAACACGAAAGUGUAGGGAGCAAACAGGAUUAGAUACCCUGGUAGUCUAUACUGUAAACUAUGAAUGUGAGAUGGUGUUCUGUCUGAAGGAACUUGAGACAUUCCGCCUGAAUAGUACGAUCGCAAGAUUAAAAUUCAAAAAAUUUGGCGGUUCACUAUUCCAAUUAGAGGAGCGUGUUAUUUAAUUCGAUAUGACGCGAUUAACCUUACCAAAAUUUGCAUAUAAAAAANUUAUGGGGUAACCCAGUGUNAAAAAUGUCUAUUGUCACAGGUAUUGCAUGGCCGUCGUCAGCUUGUGUUGUGAAAUCAAUAAAACGAGCGCAACCCUUGUUUCAAUUUUUUGAUUUCCGCGAAUUAGUUCGCGGGGCAUUAUUUUAAAUGAGGAUGACGUCAGGUCCCUAUGGUCCUAAUGUUUGGGGCUAUUUAUGCGCUACAAUCUUAUAUACAAGGGGAAAAAAUUAAUCUUUAAAGUAUAAGUUCGGAGGAUGGUCUGAAAUGGUUGUCUGAAGUUGGAUUUAAUAGUAAUCAAAGAGUAGAGCGCUUUGGUGAAUUUGGCUCUAGUGUUGGUACAAAUCGCCCGUCACCUCGUCCCAGUUGAGUCUUCUUUAAGUAUAAAAGAAGGGGUUUUNAAAAAAAUAGGGGGUUUCUUUAUAAUAAAAAUUUUAUCUUUAAAAGUCGUCUUUAUAUCAGGGGGAUUUUUCAAGGCUGAGUAAGUCGUAACAUAGUUGCGGUACUGGAAAGUGUCGCAGGAUUAAG